rnacentral:rRNA from 1 species
GAUGAACGCUGGCGGCGUGCCUAAUACAUGCAAGUCGAGCGGAGAUGAGGUGCUUGCACCUUAUCUUAGCGGCGGACGGGUGAGUAAUGCUUAGGAAUCUGCCUAUUAGUGGGGGACAACAUUCCGAAAGGAAUGCUAAUACCGCAUACGUCCUACGGGAGAAAGCAGGGGAUCUUCGGACCUUGCGCUAAUAGAUGAGCCUAAGUCGGGUUAGCUAGUUGGUGGGGUAAAGGCCUACCAAGGCGACGAUCUGUAGCGGGUCUGAGAGGAUGAUCCGCCACACUGGGACUGAGACACGGCCCAGACUCCUACGGGAGGCAGCAGUGGGGAAUAUUGGACAAUGGGGGGAACCCUGAUCCAGCCAUGCCGCGUGUGUGAAGAAGGCCUUAUGGUUGUAAAGCACUUUAAGCGAGGAGGAGGCUACUGAGACUAAUACUCUUGGAUAGUGGACGUUACUCGCAGAAUAAGCACCGGCUAACUUCGUGCCAGCAGCCGCCGUAA